rnacentral:rRNA from 1 species
GUUGCCAGCGGUACCGGCCGGGAACUCAAAGGAGACUGCCAGUGAUAAACUGGAGGAAGGUGGGGAUGACGUCAAGUCAUCAUGGCCCUUACGACCAGGGCUACACACGUGCUACAAUGGCGCAUACAAAGAGAAGCGACCUCGCGAGAGCAAGCGGACCUCAUAAAGUGCGUCGUAGUCCGGAUUGGAGUCUGCAACUCGACUCCAUGAAGUCGGAAUCGCUAGUAAUCGUGGAUCAGAAUGCCACGGUGAAUACGUUCCCGGGCCUU